CCUUUGUUGCAGAGACGGAGGUCUAAAUCCCUCUAUUAAACCCCAGUUAGAUGGCUCCCAUCACUUGAUGAGCAGGCACUGAAGCAGACUCCUCUUCAGAAACCACUUCUUGAAUUUUAUCAUCUUCUUCUGGGAAUUCUAAACUUUGGUGCUCACAAGGAAUCGACCGGAGAAAGCGUGAGUUGUUCGGUCAACGCAGAGGCUGUUCACGGCUCCGGUCUGCGGUGGCACAACUCCGUUCUGAGCAGCACAAGACUCUAGAAUUAGGAAACCCAGUUCGGUGAGUUUCACUAAUCUAGGGAGAUUACCGAACAAGGUUCACCUGGGUAACAAACUUCUCGAGAUACUCUGACCAUGGCGAGGUGGAAGGAUGGUUGCUGUGGCACCAGAGUACCAGACAAUGGAAUGGCACUUGAUGAACUGAACAAAGCCGACGCGGAGGCUAAGGAGAUGAACUCAGGCUUGUACACACCUUCACAGAGAUGCCCAAGGAUCCAACUAAAGCUU
rnacentral:lncRNA from 1 species